rnacentral:rRNA from 1 species
AGAUUGAACGCUGGCGGCAUGCCUAACGCAUGCAAGUCGAACGGGAGUAGCAAUACUCUAGUGGCGGACGGGUGAGGAAUACGUAGGAAUUUGCCCUUAAGUGGGGGAUAACCCGGGGAAACCCGGAUUAAUACCGCAUGACCUCGAAAGAGCAAAGUGGGGGAUCGCAAGACCUCACGCUUUUGGAGAAGCCUACGUCGGAUUAGCUAGUUGGUGAGGUAAUGGCUCACCAAGGCGACGAUCCGUAACUGGUCUGAGAGGAUGAUCAGUCACACCGGAACUGAGACACGGUCCGGACUCCGUACGGGAGCAGCAGUGGGGAAUAUUGGACAAUGGGCGCAAGCCUGAUCCAGCAAUGCCG